rnacentral:rRNA from 1 species
AAAAGCAAAUAAGGGCGUAUGGCGGAUGCCUAGGCUCACGGAGGCGAUGAAGGACGUGAUAAGCUGCGAUAAGCCGCGGUUAGGUGCAAAUGACCCUUGACCCGCGGAUUUCCGAAUGGGACAACCCGGCCGCCUUACGGCGGUCAUCAUGACAGAGUCAUGAGGCGAACGCGGGGAACUGAAACAUCUUAGUACCCGCAGGAAGAGAAAAUAAGUCAAUGAUUCCCCCAGUAGUGGCGAGCGACCGGGGAAGAGCCCAAACCGGGUGUGUCGAGGCACAUCCGGGGUUGUAGGACCGCGCUGUUGUACGAGCAUGAGCGAGCGUGACCGUCUGGAAAGUCGGGCCGCAGCGGGUGACAGCCCCCUUCGCGAAGUUCAUGCCGGCAUAGCGGUAUCCUGAGUAACGCGGGACACGAGGAAUCCUGCGCGAAUCCGCCGGGACCAUCCGGCAAGGCUAAAUACUCCCGUGAGACCGAUAGUGGACCAGUACCGUGAGGGAAAGGUGAAAAGAACUCCGACGAGGAGAGUGAAAUAGCCCCUGAAACCAUACGCCUACAAGCGGUCGGAGCAUGUGUAGCAUGUGACGGCGUGCCUUUUGCAUAAUGAACCUACGAGUUGCCGUCACGGGCAAGGUUAAGCGCCUAAGGCGCCGAGCCGCAGUGAAAGCGAGCCUGAAUAGGGCGCAGAGUCCGUGGAGGCAGACGCGAAACCGAGUGAUCUACACUUGUCCAGGAUGAAGUCCCGGUAACACGGGAUGGAGGUCCGCACCGAUAAGCGUUGAAAAGCUUCCGGAUGAGGUGAGUGUAGGAGUGAAAGGCCAAUCAAACUCGGAGAUAGCUCGUACUCCCCGAAAUGCAUUUAGGUGCAGCGUUCCGCGAUAGCGUCAAGAGGUAGAGCGACCGAUAGGAUGCGAGGGCUUCACCGCCUAUCAAGUCCUGACGAACUCCGAAUGCUUGACGCCUGCAGCGGGGCAGCAAGGGGGCGGGUGCUAAGGUCCGUCCCCGAGAGGAGAAGAAUCCAGACCGCCGUCUAAGGUCCCGGAAUUCUGCCUGAGUUAGUCUAACGAAGUGAGGUCCCUGAGACAGCCAGGAUGUUGGCUUGGAAGCAGCCAUUCAUUCAAAGAGUGCGUAACAGCUCACUGGUCGAGGGUCCUUGCGUGGAUAAUAAUCGGGUAUAAGGCAGAUACCGAAGGCGCGGGAUAGUAAUAAUAAAAGUAUCGGUAGGGGAGCAUUCCAUGUGCGUCGAAUGUUCAUGGUGACGUGAGCUGGAGCGCAUGGAAAAGCAAAUGUAGGUAUAAGUAACGACAAGGAGGGCGAGAACCCCUCCCGCCGCAAGACCAAGGUUUCCCGGGCAAUGCCAGUCAUCCCGGGGUCAGUCGGGUCCUAAGUCUAAGCCGAACGGCGAGGGCGAUGGCAGAAACGGUUAAUAUUCCGUUACUGCCUGUGCGAGCGAUGUGGAGACGGAGAAGUGGAACCGCCGCGGGGUGACGGAAGUCCCCGUUGAAGGGCGUAGGUUAUGAGGGAUGCAGGCAAAUCCGCAUUCCGAGCCGACCCUGACAGUACUCCGGCGCCUCCGGGCAACGGAGAUAGUGCGGGUAAUCAUGCUCCCGAGAAAAUCCGCUAAGCAAUCGCACAGGCACCCGUACCGCAAACGGACACACGUAGUCGGGUAGAAUAUACUAAGGCGUUGAGAGACUCAUGGUUAAGGAACUAGGCAAACUGACCCCGUAACUUCGGGAUAAGGGGUCCUCACGUAGAGUGAGGCGCAGAGAAUAGGUCCAGGCAACUGUUUAACAAAAACACAGGGCUGUGCGAACUCGAAAGAUGAAGUAUACAGCCUGACACCUGCCCGGUGCCGGAAGGUUAAGAGGAGAGCUCAGGAGCAAUCCGAAGGUUUGAAUUGAAGCCCCGGUAAACGGCGGCCGUAACUAUAACGGUCCUAAGGUAGCGAAAUUCCUUGUCGGGUAAGUUCCG